rnacentral:rRNA from 1 species
CCUACGGGAGGCAGCAGUGAGGAAUAUUGGUCAAUGGGCGCGAGCCUGAACCAGCCAAGUAGCGUGAAGGAUGACUGCCCUACGGGUUGUAAACUUCUUUUAUAAAGGAAUAAAGUGAGGCACGUGUGCCUUUUUGUAUGUACUUUAUGAAUAAGGAUCGGCUAACUCCGUGCCAGCAGCCGCGGUAAUACGGAGGAUCCGAGCGUUAUCCGGAUUUAUUGGGUUUAAAGGGUGCGUAGAUGGGUUGUUAAGUCAGUGGUGAAAGGUUGGGGCUCAACCGUAAAACUGCAAUUGAUACUGGUAGCCUUGAGAACAGUUGCGGUAGGCGGAAUGCGUGGUGUAGCGGUGAAAUGCUUAGAUAUCAUGAAGAACUCCGAUUGCGAAGGCAGCUUACUAAACUGCCACUGACAUUGAGGCUCGAAAGUGUGGGUAUCAAACAGGAUUAGAUACCCCUGUAGUC